CAGUAGCCGCGGUAAUACGUAGGUGGCAAGCGUUGUCCGGAAUUAUUGGGCGUAAAGCGCGCGCAGGCGGAUCAGUCAGUCUGUCUUAAAAGUUCGGGGCUUAACCCCGUGAUGGGAUGGAAACUGCUGAUCUAGAGUAUCGGAGAGGAAAGUGGAAUUCCUAGUGUAGCGGUGAAAUGCGUAGGUAUUAGGAAGAACACCAGUGGCGAAGGCGACUUUCUGGACGAAAACUGACGCUGAGGCGCGAAAGCCAGGGGAGCGAACGGGAUUAGAUACCCCUGUAGUCCCUGUCUCUUAUACA
rnacentral:rRNA from 1 species